CCUACGGGAGGCAGCAGUGAGGAAUAUUGGUCAAUGGGCGCGAGCCUGAACCAGCCAAGUCGCGUGAGGGAAGACGGUCCUAUGGAUUGUAAACCUCUUUUGUCGGGGAGCAAAAGACGCCACGCGUGGCGUUCCGAGAUUACCCGAAGAAAAACCAGCGGCUAACUCCGGGGCAGCAGCCGCGGUAAUACGGAGGAUGCGACCGUUAUCCGGAUUUAUUGGGUUUAAAGGGUGCGCAGGAGGAAGAUCAAGUCAGCGGUAAAAUUGAGAGGCUCAACCUCUUCGAGCCGUUGAAACUGGUUUUCUUGAGUGAGCGAGAAGUAUGCGGAAAGCGUGGUGUAGCGGUGAAAUGCAU
rnacentral:rRNA from 1 species